rnacentral:piRNA from 1 species
CCCAUCUGUACAUCCCAGGAUCCUCAGAGU